UCUAUGUUUCCUUCCUUCUCUGACUGUUAUGUCUAUCCAGCUCACACUCACACCGGCGCUGCAUACACGAGCGCGCGUUUUACUUUUCGAAGCCGGCGAGGAGGCUUGCGAAUAAUCCUCGAUAUGCGUGUGCGUGUAUAUAGAGGGAAUAUAUGUGUGACACUACAGGGUUUCCACGUAUCUUUUGAACUUAUGAACAAAUCUUAAUAAGAUAAUGCUCUAUAAAUUAAAAAUUCAUUUUUUACCGAAUUCAAAUUUCGUCAUAAAGGGAAAGCAGGUUGAACGCAUUUGAAAGGAAACACUAGAGACACGGAAACUAGUGGAAUUAACUUAGUUAGAAAUGGCGAUCGUGAAUCAAGGGAACAAGUAUAGUGUUGAAUUCCUUCUCUUUUUUUUAUGCCUUUAUGGUACGAUUUCGUAUCGACCGAUACACAUGGGAACAUUUCAAUUUCGUUACAUCGCGUCACAUAAAAAACCUUUUAGUGUCGAGUACGGUUUACCGUUGAAAGUUUUCGCGAGUUUCUCUAUCGGUUCGUUUUAACUAUUUGCGACGUAACUAUUUUUCGACCAAGAGCAGAGAACGUUCUAAAAAUGUUUCUUCGAAAUGUAUCGCGUGUUCUUGCGGUCAGUAAAUAUGGUACUCGGGUGACAGUAUACACCACGUUCACUACAGUUCGUUUUUCACGAAUGUAACUUUUGUCGUGUGUACCUUUGCUUCGAGGGAUCACAGGGUAUGAAACAGCUCUGUGCUUCACAAGGUGUAAAUAUUUACGUCUCUGGCCCUUGGGUAUAUUACAUCGAAAUUCUAGAGAAAACGGUCGUCGUUCUUUUUGCGUCGCAAAGUUGAACCUGUGCGACAAUUUGUGUAUUUUUGCAACGUGAGCUUUUUACGCAGUUCGUAUCUUAAUAUCGCAUGCGACAUAAAUUUCGGUGAUAUAUCGAGUAAUAUUCAUUUGUGACGUAAUCGUAAGUGUUUUUCAAGAUUAUAUUUGUGUGGAUACGUUUGUGUUGUUUAUGACAUCGAUAUCGACAUUCAAGUGAAAGUACGUUAGAGACUAAUUCGGCCAUAUUGAAUUUUCGAAUCGAAUCCGUUAUCGUUUCAAAUGUGCUACGUAUCUGAUAUUUUGAAUAUUUUCAAUGUCGUUUUCGAAUCAUUUUGUUUAUUUUUGAAAAAAAAUUCAAACAUUUUUUCAUUUUAACCAAGAUUGAUGACAAAUGCCGAUGACAUGUAUAUAGAAUUUUUGGGACAAGGAUUGAUUGUUCAAAGGACUACUAUCCUGAUAUUAUAAGGACAACAUGUCACGUGGUUUUGCAAUAGAGGGGAUGCCAUUUUACGUAUAUGAAAUGAAUCAAGCAAACCAGUCGCUUUUCCACAAUAUCCAGGCAACAGCUCGAGGGUGACAGUAUCCAGCAUCCACCUCCAGAUGAACGCGGGCAAAUAGAAUACAAACAAGCGUGACAUACUGAUACAUUCCUGGUAAUAUUGAAACACGAUGAGAUGUCGUAAACGCAAGAAGAUGACAGAAAAUCGAUUGAACACCUUCCAGAUCUAGACCGACUUUUCUAUUAUGAUUCUUCACCGCUUUCUUUAGUACUUGAGCAAACACAGUAAUAUGAUGCUAGCCUGAUAUUUUUCAGAUGUUGUAUGUCUUAUUGCUGUCUUUGUUCAUAUCCGAUACUAUGUAUCAAAAAAAUAUCGAGUCGCAAUAAUAUGUAUUGGUGAAUCGGAAACUAUUACCAUCCCCGAUAGUAUCCUGUUACGUUAACACGUCAUAGUCGUCAUAUCUCGACAGUUUGAUGUGAAAUCGAUAAAAUAUAUUAAAAUAUAUUUUUUGUGUAUAUAUAUAUAUA
rnacentral:lncRNA from 1 species